AGCAGAUGAUGACACCUAGGUAUGCUGCACACUCCCUAGUCGUGGGGAGGCCAGCCUUGGAGAGCUGAGUGUA